rnacentral:tRNA from 1 species
GUUUUCGUAGUGUAGUGGUCAGCACACUCGGCUCGGCGUGUAUUCGAGAGGUCGUUGGUUCGAGUCCCAGCGAGGGCA